CGAAAAGAACCCCGGCGAGGGGAGUGAAAAAGAACCUGAAACCGUGUACGUACAAGCAGUGGGAGCACCCUCGUGGUGUGACUGCGUACCUUUUGUAUAAUGGGUCAGCGACUUAUAUUCUGUAGCAAGGUUAACCGUAUAGGGGAGCCGAAGGGAAACCGAGUCUUAACUGGGCGUUAAGUUGCAGGGUAUAGACCCGAAACCCGGUGAUCUAGCCAUGGGCAGGUUGAAGGUUGGGUAACACUAACUGGAGGACCGAACCGACUAAUGUUGAAAAAUUAGCGGAUGACUUGUGGCUGGGGGUGAAAGGCCAAUCAAACCGGGAGAUAGCUGGUUCUCCCCGAAAGCUAUUUAGGUAGCGCCUCGUGAAUUCAUCUUCGGGGGUAGAGCACUGUUUCGGCUAGGGGGCCAUCCCGGCUUACCAACCCGAUGCAAACUACGAAUACCGAAGAAUGUUAUCACGGGAGACACACGGCGGGUGCUAACGUCCGUCGUGAAGAGGGAAACAACCCAGACCGCCAGCUAAGGUCCCAAAGUCAUGGUUAAGUGGGAAACGAUGUGGGAAGGCACAGACAGCCAGGAUGUUGGCUUAGAAGCAGCCAUCAUUUAAAGAAAGCGUAAUAGCUCACUGGUCGAGUCGGCCUGCGCGGAAGAUGUAACGGGGCUAAACCAUGCACCGAAGCUGCGGCAGCGACGCUUAUGCGUUGUUGGGUAGGGGAGCGUUCUGUAAGCCGUUGAAGGUGUGCUGUGAGGCAUGCUGGAGGUAUCAGAAGUGCGAAUGCUGACAUAAGUAACGAUAAAGCGGGUGAAAAGCCCGCUCGCCGGAAGACCAAGGGUUCCUGUCCAACGUUAAUCGGGGCAGGGUGAGUCGACCCCUAAGGCGAGGCCGAAAGGCGUAGUCGAUGGGAAACAGGUUAAUAUUCCUGUACUUGGUGUUACUGCGAAGGGGGGACGGAGAAGGCUAUGUUAGCCGGGCGACGGUUGUCCCGGUUUAAGCAUGUAGGCGGAGGUUCCAGGUAAAUCCGGUACCUUUUAACGCUGAGGUGUGAUGACGAGGCACUACGGUGCUGAAGUAACAAAUGCCCUGCUUCCAGGAAAAGCCUCUAAGCAUCAGGUAACAUCAAAUCGUACCCCAAACCGACACAGGUGGUCAGGUAGAGAAUACCAAGGCGCUUGAGAGAACUCGGGUGAAGGAACUAGGCAAAAUGGUGCCGUAACUUCGGGAGAAGGCACGCUGAUAUGUAGGUGAAGCCCCUGCGGGUGGAGCUGAAAUCAGUCGAAGAUACCAGCUGGCUGCAACUGUUUAUUAAAAACACAGCACUGUGCAAACACGAAAGUGGACGUAUACGGUGUGACGCCUGCCCGGUGCCGGAAGGUUAAUUGAUGGGGUUAGCGGCAACGCGAAGCUCUUGAUCGAAGCCCCGGUAAACGGCGGCCGUAACUAUAACGGUCCUAAGGUAGCGAAAUUCCUUGUCGGGUAAGUUCCGACCUGCACGAAUGGCGUAAUGAUGGCCAGGCUGUCUCCACCCGAGACUCAGUGAAAUUGAACUCGCUGUGAAGAUGCAGUGUACCCGCGGCAAGACGGAAAGACCCCGUGAACCUUUACUAUAGCUUGACACUGAACACUGGUCCUUGAUGUGUAGGAUAGGUGGGAGGCUUUGAAGUGUGGACGCCAGUCUGCAUGGAGCCGUCCUUGAAAUACCACCCUUUAAUGGCUGGUGUUCUAACGUAGACCCGUGAUCCGGGUUGCGGACAGUGUCUGGUGGGUAGUUUGACUGGGGCGGUCUCCUCCCAAAGAGUAACGGAGGAGCACGAAGGUUAGCUAAUCCUGGUCGGACAUCAGGAGGUUAGUGCAAUGGCAUAAGCUAGCUUGACUGCGAGAGUGACGGCUCGAGCAGGUGCGAAAGCAGGUCAUAGUGAUCCGGUGGUUCUGAAUGGAAGGGCCAUCGCUCAACGGAUAAAAGGUACUCCGGGGAUAACAGGCUGAUACCGCCCAAGAGUUCAUAUCGACGGCGGUGUUUGGCACCUCGAUGUCGGCUCAUCACAUCCUGGGGCUGAAGUAGGUCCCAAGGGUAUGGCUGUUCGCCAUUUAAAGUGGUACGCGAGCUGGGUUUAGAACGUCGUGAGACAGUUCGGUCCCUAUCUGCCGUGGGCGCUGGAGAAUUGAGGGGGGCUGCUCCUAGUACGAGAGGACCGGAGUGGACGCAUCACUGGUGUUCGGGUUGUCAUGCCAAUGGCACUGCCCGGUAGCUAAAUGCGGAAAAGAUAAGUGCUGAAAGCAUCUAAGCACGAAACUUGCCCCGAGAUGAGUUCUCCCUGA
rnacentral:rRNA from 1 species